CGACACUUGUGCACAGUAAAGUUGGACUUGCUAACACCAACCCAAGUCUCACGUCCUCUUUAUUUUCCCCUCCCCCGUUUUUCGCCAACGCCGUCUCUCCUGCGGGAACCUGGACUCUGCUGAGGCUGGACCCCGGCAUCCAAGUCACUCACAACCAGCGUCAGUCUCCUGUGGCCAGUGAAUCAUGACACGAUCACGUGAGUGAGCUAUUUUCCCCAAGAAGUCAAGGUCCAGACAUCAAGAAGAAAGGAGAUUCAGCCUCGCAAAGCCGAAUGUUGGCAGAGGAUGAAAACUAACCAGAAAAGUCCAGAUGGUUGAGGAAAGAAAGAUUCAACCUUCAAGACCAAACACAGGCUGAGGCCAGCCAGCAAGGCUACCUGCUCCCCAUCCCCCACCUACAACGCCAGCCCACAGCCCCCUCCUCUUCCUAAAACCCCAAAUAAAAACCCCUACCUUUUUCCCUUCCAGGAGGUAGAUUGGAGCUUUAACUCCUAUCUCCUCAUCUGGCUCUUUUGAUAAUAAACCUCUUUCCUUGCUAGAAGCCUGAUAUUUCAGUUAUUGGCUUUCCUGCUCAUCGGGUAACAGACCUGUGUUUGCAUUCUGUAACAAUUACAUCUGCAAAGACCUUAUUCCAAAUAAGGUUGUAUUCUGAGGUUCCAGGUAGACAUGAAAUUCGGGGGCAGACUCCUGAACCCAGUGUAUGUGUUUCUAUGUGCUUGUAUAUAUUUUAUAAUUUAGGUAUUGAUGUCCAGUGUUACAUGAAAUAUUUAUCUUACGGUUCUGCUUUAUUAUUCCCAUAUACACAUGCAAUCUCCCUAUCCAUCUUAUCCAUCUCCCUCUCAUCCCCUCACUGUGCUACUUUUCCCAUGUUUGAUGAAAGGUCAAUGAAAUCUACAGGUUGAUGAGGUUCUGCUGAAUGGUGUCAUUUCAUUGUUGGUAAGGCAUGGAGGUAUAUGUCCCAGAAUCCCUGUCUUUAUGAUUCUGGGUUAGAAUUCACCAAUUCCUUAACUCAUGUCACAACUGGAAGGUACACAUGAAGCAGCCAUUACUCUCAGGGUUUGGAGCCACCAUACGGAUGGAGCAAUGCAUAGUGGCUUGACGGGCAACAGCUUCCAGCUUAUUUUUCUGAUCACCGGUCCAGUCAAGUCAAACUAAACACCAAAUUCCCCUUUCCAUUUUCUUAGAGGCCCUGGCCUCCACACAUGUGCUCCUGUUCUCUGCCAUUGUGGAUCAGACUCUAGGGUCAGAGACCCACAGGUCUGGGCUGUGCAAAGCCCCGGUGUGCCCUCCAGGCCCCUGAUGGAGGCUGUCACGGUGGUUGAGCUUGACUGACGCUGACUCCCCUCUGCUCUGGAUCUUGCCUUAUUUGUACCAGAUGUUACUUGUACAGUGAACACCCAUUCCCUUUAUGUUGAGAAGAUCUGGGGUCUAAUUCCACGACAGACACAGCAGUGCAGCCAAAGAAAACAGGGGCUUGUUUCCCUGCUGCACCGUUGAGUGGCUGCACUGCCUGUCCUUCCGCGUGAGAAGUGAGCACCUUCCUCAUGUGUCAGGGACAUGGUGGGAGUGUCCUGAACUCGGGGCUGAGAGCAGGCCCUCAGGAUGUGUUCAGUUAUCAUAUUUAUGUGUGAGUAAAACACUUGUGUACUCAGAAGAUUCCACACGUUUCCCAGGAAAGUCUUCAGUGGUGUUUUCAAAUCAGUUGUAUAUUAACAAAUGUCACUGUGUGCUUUUCCUUGGCUGAGAGAUUAUGUUAAAAUGUCUGCAUUUAUGGGUUGUCCAAUCAGCCUUGCAAUUUUCUCAACUUGAGAAUUCUUAGUAUUCUUAUGCAUUCUUAGUCCACAGUACCACGUGCAUACGAGUUUAGAGAAUUUUUUCUUUCAGGUAAACAUUUACUCCUAUAUACUUUAAACUUCUGUCAUUAAAUUAACUUGUAAUACAAUAAGGAGAGUAAAAUAGUGAUUGGGCCACUGCUCUCUAGCCAAAGACCUCCAGGAUCACACCUGUAGUCACAGAAAGUGGGGUGCACUGACUUAGAGCACUGGGGGUGCACACACCGUGCAGGACUGUGGGAGUGUCAGUAGGAGGGGCAUAUGACACAUGUGACAUGAGGACAUAUUUGGACAAGAAUAUAUCAAACAUUCAGACUUGUGUGAGGUGACUUGAGUAAGUGUUCCAGCAAGAGUUCCUUUGCUCUGAUUCGAUGCUGUCAGGAGGUAAAUGUAACUUUAUGAUUGGAGAUCUUAACAGUUCUUGUCUAGAAAUCAGAAAGGAUGGCGUGUAGCUAACACUAGUUGGUAAAGAGGCAGGGGUCACAAUAGCAAGAAGCGGGAAAAUUUGGUCAAUAGUGUGGUUUGGCUUCUGUUCCAUUGAUUGCAUUUUUGUGGACGUGAUUAUAACCUGCUCUUCCUUUUGUCUUGACACAUUGCAGUCACGGAUUUGCCUCAUCUGACGACGGGGCUGGUGAAAUUGUUUCUGCUCAACGUAAGUCCCAGCCCAGCAGUGUCAGGCCAGCUUCCAGAUGUCUGGGGCUGCCUCUGCCUUUCUCACUGACUAUGUGAACGCUGACGUAUUUCUCACUAUGUAUGUGGCACUGUUUUAAGUGUUUUUUGUAAAGUGACUAAGUUAUCAUAUAAAUCUAGCUCCUCCUCAGCAAACUCUGUAAGGCAGACACGUUUAUCUCCUUGGAUGAGUUCACUGAGGCUUUGAUGGAGGUGACUUACCAGAGGCCACAGAUAAGAAGGGACCAACCGAGGAUCAUGACUCAAACGUGGCCUUCCUUUCUCACAGUCCAUCUUCGUCGGGUGCUAAAUGUUGAGCAUCCAUCACAGCUACACACUCGAGGCUCAAAACAGACUCUUAUUCUCUACGCUAAUCUAUGUCCUGCAGGCCCUUGCCCCUGGGUCCUCGUGCUCUCCGCCCCCCACCUGCUUGGUCACGACCAUUUCCUUGAUGCUCCCCUAUCACCCAUUCUUGGGCUGCAGUGACUCUCUAGGACCUGAGUAUGAUAAAAUAUCUCCCUGACCCUCCCUAUACCCCUUGUGACUGGUCAUCCCCUAGAAGCCGACAGGACAGGUGCAGCAUCACAACUCCAAAUAGCAUUCAGUAGGCGUCCCUCCAAACUUCAAAUUCUAUGGGCACUGGAAACGAGAGGACCACAACUUCACAAGGAAAACACUCUCUGGGUAUUUAGAAGGGUAAUUAUUUGUAAAAAUGUUUGGAAUUAGAAUUUCAUGCUUCUGAUAUGAAAAAGCAAAAGUCUCAUGGAAAAUGUCAAGGAUGGGCUCUUUCCACUGGUGGAGAAAACACACAGAGUGGUUGUGACCCACACCUUCCAUGCUGGUACAGGUCAGUGCAGCUAUACCGAGCAUUUUCAGUGUGUUGGGGUCCCCAUAACACUGGUCAUAUUGACUGAUGAGUCGAUGACACCAGAGAGGAGAGUCCAUCCUGACAAGGGUUGGAAUCCCUUAGGUACAGGCUUCCUCUCUGGAAAGGCUGUACAGACACCUUUACUGAUCGUUUCUUCUCUAAGUCCCUGGGGGCCUAGUCACCUUACACAUCCUCUGAGACAUGAACCCCUACAAGGUCCACCCAAAAUAUAAGACAUCCACCAUGGCCAGGGCCAGAGAAGGAUCCCUGGAGGCCAUCUGACACAGAGGUAGAAACUGACCUUUGUCAACAGGGGCAGAGCAACAGAACCAUGAGCGUCAACCAGUGGAAAUAACACAAGGGAACAUCCCUGGGCAGGAGCACCAGCAAUUACUCACUUGUUAUAGGGAGAAACGUCCUAGGGACAAUCAGCACAGUUACUUGUAACAAGACGACAGACAGGGAGAAGAGUUUCCAUUGCAGUAUUGAUUUUCCAUGAAACCACUGAGAGCUCUGUGGAGAACAAACAUUUAGAAGCAGCAUUUCCAGGAAUGAGUAGUUCACUCAAGUUGGUUAUGUCUGUAAACUGGAGCUCCCUCUCCUAACUCAUUCCCACCGCAACUCAGUGCUCACCUCACCAAGAACUCUGGUGGUUCUACUUGUCCACAGAGAACUAGGGAAGAUGUGUGUCCAGUUCUGCCUCCCACACUGCUCAUCUGCAGGAGCCUGAGUCCUGGGGAUCUCUGGCUGGAGACCACUGACAUGUGCAACACUUACAUUUUCAUUAUUAGGAAUGAAUAAGACACUUGAAUGAAAAUGAUGGUAGCAGCAUAGGAAUUAAUGAAAAACAGACCAGAAAGAGAAAUGUGAAAACGUAUAUACAUUGUUAAUAUUAUCCCAAAAUAUACAUAGAAAAAUUGACACAAUUACAAGAAUAAGUUAAUCCUCUAGAAUGGGAUAUUUUAACAUAUACUCUCAGUUAAUGGAACAUAAAACAUCGUAACACUUGUAAGUAUACAAGAGAUUUGAAAAACAAAGUAAUGCGUGCUUCCCAAGAAAAAAUCUAGAGAACUAUAUUUGACCAAAAAAUGUACAUUGUUUUGAAUGACACAAAAAAAUGAAAGAACACUGGGUAAUCACAUAUAAAAGUAGAAAGUAACUAAACAUACUGGUUUUAUCAUGUAGAGAGCACUCAGCUGUAAGAGAAAACUCUCAUAAAGUGCCAGAUACAUUCACAACUGCUGCUUUUAAUCAGGGAAAUAUCCAUAAACAAGAAA